rnacentral:tRNA from 1 species
CAAAAUGUAGCUUAAUUUUAAAGCCCCUUGCUUACACCAAGACCCUGCCCGUUUAACUCGGGCCAUUUUGAG